UGAUCCAGCAAUGCCGCGUGUGUGAAGAAGGGCUUUCGGGUUGUAAAGCACUUUUGUCCGGGAAGAAAUCCCCUGGUCCUAAUAUGGCCGGGGGAUGACGGUACUGGAAGAAUAAGCACCGGCUAACUACGUGCCAGCAGCCGCGGUAAUACGUAGGGUGCGAGCGUUAAUCGGAAUUACUGGGCGUAAAGCGUGCGCAGGCGGUGAUGUAAGACCGAUGUGAAAUCCCCGGGCUUAACCUGGGAACUGCAUUGGUGACUGCAUCGCUCGAGUAUGGCAGAGGGGGGUAGAAUUCCACGUGUAGCAGUGAAAUGCGUAGAGAUGUGGAGGAAUACCGAUGGCGAAGGCAGCCCCCUGGGUCAAUACUGACGCUCAUGCACGAAAGCGUGGGGAGCAAACAGGAUUAGAUACCCUGGUAGUCCACGCCCUAAACGAUGUCAACUGGUUGUCGGGCCUUCAUUGGCUUGGUAACGUAGCUAACGCGUGAAGUUGACCGCCUGGGGAGUACGGUCGCAAGAUUAAAACUCAAAGGAAUUGACGGGGACCCGCACAAGCGGUGGAUGAUGUGGAUUAAUUCGAUGCAACGCGAAAAACCUUACCUACCCUUGACAUGUAUGGAA
rnacentral:rRNA from 1 species